GCUGGAAUUCGCCCUUGGAUUAGGCAUGCAAGUCGAACGAGAAAGGUCCCUUCGGGGGCUUAUUAAAGUGGCGAAAGGGUGAGUAAUGCACAGACAACCUACCCCUGAGAUAGGGAUAACUCCGCGAAAGUGGAGCUAAUACCUAAUAAGACCACGGAUCGUAUGGUCAGUGGUUAAAGAUAGCUUCGGCCUUCACUCGGGGAGGGGUCUGUGUCCUAUUAGCUUGUUGGUAGGGUAACGGCCUACCAAGGCUUUGAUGGGUAGCCGACCUGAGAGGGUGACCGGCCACACUGGGACUGAGACACUGCCCAGACUCCUACGGGAGGCUGCAGUCGAGAAUAUUCCGCAAUGUGCGCAAGCGUGACGGAGCGACGCCGCGUGGGGGAUGAAGGCCUUCGGGUUGUAAACCCCUGUCACCUGGGAAGAAAGGUAGGUAGUUAAUAGCUGUCCUGCUUGACGUUACCAGGGGAGGAAGCACCGGCUAAAUACGUGCCAGCAGCCGCGGUAAUACGUAUGGUGCAAACGUUGUUCGGAAUCACUGGGCUUAAAGAGCACGUAGGCGGUUAAGAAAGUCUAGCGUGAAAUCCCUCGGCUUAACCGAGGAACUGCGCUAGAUACUGCUUGACUCGAGUGCGGGAGGGGAGAGUGGAAUUCCUGGUGGAGCGGUGAAAUGCGUAGAUAUCAGGAGGAACGCCGAUGGCGAAAGCGACUCUCUGGCCUGCCACUGACGCUGAGGUGCGAAAGCUAGGGGAGCGAACGGGAUUAGAUACCCCGGUAGUCCUAGCCCUAAACGAUGGGCACUAAGUAGAGGGAAGGGCGAAUUCUGCAGAUAUCCAUCACACUGGCGGCCGCUCGAGCAUGCAUCUAGA
rnacentral:rRNA from 1 species